GGCACUAUUUUUUAAACCUAUUGAUGGAAAUUUUUACCACAUUAGGUUACGCUGUAGUGCCAAAGAAUCCCUUAGCUCCUGUCCUUGCAUAGCUGACGGUCCAUUCGGCUCGUGCUUUGGUGGUUGUGUUAAGGUACAUAA
ensembl:snoRNA